UUUGUAUUAUAAAUGCCAGGCUUUUGUCUGACCUUAGGCUCGUGACUAUCGUAAACAAUGUUCAGAUUCCACGACCGCAUCUCUCCUUGAACCAGGUGGCCAAAGGAGGACGCCAUCAAUGGGGUGGUGAGGACCAUUCAUAGCUUGAUGCGCUCGGCGGGGGAGAGCAGUGGACGGCCCACGGUCGCCGGUUGCGGGAGAAGGCGAGGAAGACGACCCGAGGUGAGCCGCCUCUGGUCCGACGUGCGAGGCGCCUACCGAGUGCCUCCCCAGCUUAACGGUCCCAAACCCAAGUCUUUGUUCAGCGAUUAGAUACAAAGUCUACUCAGCAGGAGGAGCAUGAACAAUUGUGAAGGAGGACCCCACUGCCUUGGACAAGGUGCGAGGGGCACUGUUCAGUAUCUUUAGGAAAUGAAGCCAUGAGGAUGCUACCUAUUCUUUCCUUUCAAGUAUCCGGCACUACGAGCUGCAUUAAUUAGCUUCACCUCAGAAUGUUGAAAGAGGAAGUAGGAGUUCUCAGAAAUGAUAAUCUACAAGCGCAGUACAUGUUCGUUGAUUAACGAAGACAAAGGCCCUACAACUCAACUGCUGUAACACCUAUUUUUACAAUGUAGGGUAUGAACUACUUGGCUUUAUUUUUAACUUAUGUACUGAUGUAGAAUGAUGGCUCCUGUUUCUUACUCGCUGGUAUGAGCUUUUUUGUUGUAUUUUGUAAAGCUCAUGUAUUUACUCAUCUAUGCUAACUAGCAUUGCUACAACAUUUGUAUACUCUAAUAAUUAUCCUUUCCUUGCCGUUGGCAGGGCCUUUUUUGUACAAUUGCUCAUACUUAUCAAUGUGGAAACUACAUAUAUUAGAGGCACUUAUUACAUUGCGUUGGAUGCAAGCUGUUGUUCUGCUAGCUGGUACCUCUUAUGAAAUACCAAGUGUUUGAUCAGCACCUGAGGCAUGUAGCUGGCGCGUUUUUUUUUUGAUUAGUUUGAAUUGCUUACAAAUAUGUCAUGUGGUAGCCAAGGUGUGCUUCCUAUCACAAUUUGAA